AGUUCAUCAAAAUUGGAUUUGUUUUAAAAUUAAUUGUGAAUCUGUGUAAUCUGAGGGAGGUACUGUAUGUGUCUCUAAUGUGGUCAUACAUUUGGCAGAAGAAUAGGAAGUGCAGUUCUGUUUCCACCUCGUUUUUUGGGCAGUGUGCACAUAGCCCGUCUUCUCUUGAGAGCCAGGUCUGCCUACGGCGACAUUUCACUGUGUACUCUCUGUUUAGGUACAAAUUGCAUUCUAGUUUGCUUAGUUUUUUGGCAAAUUCUUUCCAAUGUGUCAAGUUUGUAAACCGAGCUCCAGGACCAGCUUCCUUAGGGGAUUAUUCUUCAAGAAGUGCCAGAUAAGGAGGAACAACAGAGGAAGCAACAUUAUGGACAAAACGUUAAAAUCCUUUUGCUGCGACAAUACUGAACCUCUGGUGGUGCCAGCUUGACGAGAACAAGAAGAAGCCUGUCACUGAUGUCAUCCCAUCAGACCUGAGCCCUAGGACCAUGCCUCAGGACUACCUGGUAUGAUGACUCCUUGCUGUCCCCAGUCCACCUGGCCGUGCUGCUGCUCCAGUUUCAACUGUUCUGCCUGUGGCUAUGGAACCCUGAC
rnacentral:lncRNA from 1 species